GACCCAGGGAGCGCUCAGUUCCUUUCUGCUGGAACCCCACUUCUGACUUUAGAGGCAUCUCCCUAGAUCGGCUCUACCAAGACUAAGGGGAAGGAGGUGAGACCGGAAAGUCCUCAGACCCAGUGACCCACACUACUCUUCAGUAUUUCUCCCCAUCAAAAGGAGUUGCUGACCUACUUAACGGUAUCCCGUCUUACAAGAUCCUUAUGGUGAUAAAAUCACUUACUGUGCGCCUCUGUGUUGAGCACAUUCUCCAAAGCGUCUCUUGUACUUUUCACAAGUGAUCCUGGAGAUAAAUGUAGACACCCUCUGUUACAUGUCAAUACAGCGAGGCAACAGAAAAGUUAAAUAAUUGAGGUCACAGCUAGGUUGAGGCAAAGUCCGGGUUCCACUCAGACCUGCCUGGACCCACAGCCUGCAUGAUAGCGCCCUAAGGGCAUGAAGCUGUGAUUCACCGGAAGAAGCUAACAGUCUUUAUUUGUAGGUGGCAGGAUAGCUUGUCAGUGGGGAAAAGUUGAGAGGAGGAAGAAGAUAUGAACAGCAGGCAUUCUAUCCUUUAAUGGUGUACCCAGACGGUUCCAGGAUGGAACAAAGAGGGGAAACUCACCCAUCUGGAGCACACACGCCAAGCAGGCCAGGAGUUGGAAGGACCCCGCCAUGCUCUGAUGCCUGCAGACCCAGCAGCCCUCUCCCCAGCCAGCUUCUCUAGGUUACUGGAUUAGGAUCUGUGAUGCGUGCUUCUUGAAGAUUCAGGAGAUAAAGAGUUAUCAGGAAGGAAUCAAGUUUAUUCUGACCCUGAAGAGACAGAAGGUCCUAACCCAUGCUUACAGCUCUAUCUUGGGUAGCUUGGAGGUACACGGGACUUCCCUAGGAAGGAAGAAGAAUUCUACAGCAGAGUGAGCAGACCUUGGUCACCCAGCGUGUGUCUUGACCUUGGUCACCCAGUGUGUGUCUUCUUUGUUUUUCUUUGAAGCACUUCCAUGGCCUGCACCCCAUUGUUGGUUGUUCCUCUAGAUAUUUUUCUUAUACUUGCUUUUUGACAUGAUGCAGCAUUUAUUGGUGAGCAUGAUGAAAGACAAGGCUUACAACCUGUCCAGGGGAUCACAACUGGAGACUUACCGGACCCCAAAGCCACCGGAGGUCAGUACUUUGCAAUGUGAUCAACUUUCAAGACACCGGACAGAGGAAGGUGUGCUUGGUGCUCAUGAAGGUCAGAAGAGGGCAUCGGAUCCCCUGGAACAAAAGUUACAGAGACUUGGGAACUUCCCUGUGAAUGCUGGGCAUUGAAUCUGGGUUCUUUGCAAAAGAAGCAUGUGCUCUUAAACACUGAGUCAUAACUUCAGUAUGUAAGUGUAGUUCUCACCCUUCAUCAAAAAAACUUCUCUUCACAACAGAUGGAUCCACAACUGGCAAAAAAUGUCGAGAAAAGGGCGUCAUAACCUCGGUCUCUGGAGUGGAACAGUCGAGGCGUCAAGUACAGUUUCUUGUAUUUCUGUGAUCUUGAACACCUUUGAUGGUGUCAUUCAUUUGAGGACUGGGGAGACCAGAGUUUCAGAGGAGAACCCACCCACAUAGCACUGUGCACAACUAUACUUCCACUGCACUCCGGAGCCCAGAGGUCUCAGGGAAGCGCAGACUUGCCUAGGUCCGACAAAUACAAUAUCCUGCUGAAGAAUGACUUCUUAGACUUACUGAGUUCUCUGAGAUUUUUGGCUUGUGGAAUAUCGCUGUAUCCCUCUAAGAUUCUGAUGGAGAACUCCAGCACCAUGGCUGUGUGUGUACAGCAUGCUCUCUGCCGUGAUGAGAGUGGACUAAACCUCUGACACUAGGUUGGAGGUAAAUCCCUAUUGCUGAAGACACCUUGUACUUCAGAUGUAGAUCCCAGCAGAUCCCAGCAGAUCCCAGCUGGAUAUCAAAGCUUCCUCCAUGACAACCAUUUCAUAGAUCCAGACGAUGCCAUGCCAGCCUCCAGGAGAGGGAGACAACAAAUGGUUUUACCCAGCUGCGCGACUCCUGUGAACCACCACAUCAACGAGCACGGCCGAGUGAUGUCAUGGAUCUAAGAGCAGAACCUACUACCACUACCACGUUACGAAAGCAGCCUGAUUCCUAACUGCAUUCCAAAUAUUCAUCUCUGUACCCACAGGUGGAGCAAACUGUUACCGACAGGCCAUCAGGAGGAGGGGGUCUGUGAAGGAGAAAGAUCCCUUUGUUGGGCUGGCCCAUCCUGCGCCCUGCACUUACUGCUCCAAGAUGCAUUUGGCCUUUGGGACACUGACUCAACACCCAGAACCAUUUGGCUACUGUUAGACAGUAACCAAAUCAAUCGAUCAACCAGCCAAUCACCUAUCAAUCACGUGAGCUGUCUUGCAGCGUACGGCAGAAAUGAUGAGCGAGAUCUCUGGUCCUCAUUCCCUAAACUAAAGACUGUCUUAUUUUGAUCAGCAUGUUGUCCCCUGCACUGUUCCUUAAAUGGGUCAAUGAAUCCUUGCAUGUCCUAGCGUCUGUCUCAGGCUAAUGAGGGCUCGUCUUCAGAAACAGCUCAGCUUUCAGACCCCAGUGCUUCCUUUACUUCACUGUACAGAGAAAUCUCAAAUGCGAUUUUACAUGCCCUCAGAGCACUGGGAACCCGUCUCUCUUGGCAGGGUUCGAGGGUCCUACUCUGAGAAGAAGGAUGCUCAUGGCUGAGGAGGGAAGACGUCUCUUUGUUUCUGUCAAUUCUAGUCAUCUUCAAGAUCUAACUCAUCCAUUCAGCAUGUAUCCCUUGGUCCUCUGCUCAGCACAAGCUGCAUGCUAGCCUGCUCUCUCGAGUGCUGUCUAUCUAUUUCCUCUGUGCGCACCAGGAACUAUUGUCUCUUGUUCCCUUCAAAGGCCCAGCACUCUUCUAAGGCAUGCUUCUGGCACUUGCAGGCUUUGUACUGUUAUAUGCUUUGGAAGAACAUUUAGAGGUCCAAGUUGCUCUCUUCUCCACAGUGAGAGUUAGAUUAAUACAUGGCAGACUGCUCACCCAUUAAUACAUACAGUGCAGGACUGGGGCUGGCUUAUACCAGAGAAGCAUCUACCUACUGCACGUUGGUGUGGAGGCAAUCCCCCGAAUGCAUUAGAAAAAGGCUCUUAAGCCUCAGCAAGAGCCUGGAUUUCACGGACAAUGCCCCUGUCAGUGUGCGGUCAUGGGUGAGUUCUACCAUAGUAACCCAACCAUUGACAAGUACUACAAAAUGGGUUUACAGCUUGUUAGCUAACACAGCAAACAAGGCUAGUGCUUGGCUGCAUGGCUCCUGAUCUGCAGGUAAGGAAGGCAGCCCUGUUAGAUGCCAUCCCAGGCUCCCAACUCCUCCUCCUGAUAGGUACAUACGGCAUGAAGAAAAGAGAAGUUCUGUAAUCGGUGUCUGCUAUUUAUGUACCUUGGCAGACACGCUUGGACUUUUGUUUGGCGGUGACAGGGCAACAUGGGCAAGCUGAAACUUGCUGGGGCAUUUUACACAAAAGGCUUGCUUUGCAAGAGGGGCUGGAGGUCUGUCCCAAGAGUUCAUGUGUGGCUAUUAAACUGUCUGGUGCGACACAGUGAGGACAGACUCAAUACCCUCCAACUGUCAGCCUCAGAAGGACCUGCUAAAGCUCUGUGGGAGUGAACUCUACAUCUAUGGACGUCAAGGUUGACAUUCCCGUUGCACCAUCAACUUGACUUUUAGAAAUAUGUUACAGAAACAUUAGUAUGGGGUACAUUUGGCAAGUUAUCCCAAAUGCAUUCAGUGGAGCAGUGUCUUUAAUGGCUCCAAACCAGAAGCCAUAUAACUACCUCUCAGCAUAACAGGCUUGCCGAUUGAAAGGAUCCGUAUUAUCUCAAGCAGCAGAGGCUGCACAUCCUGAGAGGUGGAGCCAUGGUCUUCUGAGAAAGGCCCUGGCUUCUAAUCCCCAUUGAGAGUUGUCACUCAGACAGCUCGGAUCCAUGGAAAACAAGCUCUUGGGGCAAGGAAAGGGGACACCCAAGGAAAGCGAGUGCCAGGAAAGACAGAUACAAAUGGAGCAAGCACUGCAGAUGAACCUUAAUCAAAGCCCUAAACCGAACCACAACGGGUGACGGGAUUGAGCGUAAUGAAGAGAGCCAAAAAGCGGAAGCUCCUGUGAAGGGACGAGGAGAAACCACUAAGAAAAACGUCUACAGUGGUGGGAAAGCUCACACGGGAACUAACCUACAAGGAGAGGAAUAUUUGCAGAGGAUCGUUAAAAGAUUAAAAGUGGACAAAAAUCCCAGAAUUAAAGGAAGACGGGGGACAGCACACUGAAGAGAUUCAAAAGGGAAUCCUCAUAGCUAGUCAGGCAACAGAAAACCAACUCAGAUGCAAAGACACAAUUCUAAAUGUCCAGAGAGGAAAAAUAAAACGACCUUUUCAUAGGAA